rnacentral:rRNA from 1 species
UACCGCAUAUUCUGUGAGCAGGAAAGACGAGGGGAUCGCAAGACCUUGCGCUGAUUGAGCGGCCGAUAUCAGAUUAGCUAGUUGGUGAGGUAAAGGCUCACCAAGGCGACGAUCUGUAGCGGGUCUGAGAGGAUGAUCCGCCACACUGGAACUGAGACACCGGUCCAGACUCCUACGGGAGGCAGCAGUGGGGAAUUUUUGGACAAUGGGCGCAAGCCUGAUCCAGCCAUGCCGCGUGAGUGAAGAAGGCCUUCGGGUUGUAAAGCUCUUUCAGCCGGGAAGAAAACGCAUGGGUUAAUACCCUGUGUGGAUGACGGUACCGGAAUAAGAAGCACCGGCUAACUACGUG